rnacentral:lncRNA from 1 species
CUCACCCCUUCUGCCAUGUGGGGAUAUGAGAAGUGAGCAGUCUGAAACCUGGAAGAGGGUCUUCACCAGACAUUGACUCUGUCGGUACCUUGAUCUUGGACUUCCCGGCCUCCAGAGCCGUGAAUAAGAAAUUUCUGUGAUUUACGUGGUACUCAGUCUAUGAUAGUUUGUUACAGUAGCCUGAACGGACUAAGACACCAGGAAAUAAGAAGGAUUGUUGUCCUCCUAAAGAGUUGAGUACAUCUAUUUUGGAUACCGAAAGGCUUGUUUUCCUUCCUUCUACAUCUAUGGUCACCUUCUAACAUAUAUAAAAUCCUGGCAAAGGUCAAAACUGCCAUGCUGCAGGUCACUUCAGCCAGUUUUAGAUCUUUUUGGAAGACGAGAAAAUGAAGCUGGCGGAAUGGUCUGGAUUGGAUUACCCAUCUGGUGAGUCACAAAGCAUACCACAUAGACUAUUUAUUGUACUGCCAUGCAGUAUUUUUAAAAUUAGCAAGAUUACAAUUUUGCUUCAAAAAUAUUAAAUCACAGUUGUUCGAACACUAUCUCUUGAUUUUCAGGAAAAAAAAAUCUAUUCUAUUGCAUUGCACUUAAAUUGUGGUUUAAACUGCUUGAUGCCUUAUUUUAUUUUUCCUAAGUGGUUUCAUACCUAUUUUUAAUUUUCUCUAAAGAUUCAAUUCUGGUUCUUCAGAGCAGAAACCUUGCCUUCUAUGCACUCAUAUAACACACAGAGGGCAAUAAGCCAUGCUUUUAACACAAUAUUAAAAAUCUCCUUGUAAAUAUUGGGUAGUAGGCAGAAUCCUAAGAUGGCCCCUAGAUUCCCACCCAUUGGUAUAUAUGAUCUGUGUGACUCCCAAGCAGACAGGACCUGUGGAUAUGAUGGGCUAUCUGUCUCUUGAUUAGUUUGUGCUGAAAAAAGGCUCUGUUGUAACAGAUGGCAGGGAGAUUCUCCUGCUGGCUUUAGGGAAGUUGCUAAAUUUUGACAGGGCCUCGUGCCUAGGAGCGAGUGUUGCCUCUAGAAGCUGAGAGCAGUCCCUGGGGACCUCAGUCCUACAGCUACAAGGGACUGAAUUCUGCCAACAACCUGGAUGAGCUUGGAAGAGGACCCUGAGCCCCAGGUGGGAACGCAGCCCAGGCCAAUAUCUUGGUUGCAUCCAUGUUAGACCCUGAGCAGAGAACCCAGUGACACUGUGUCUGGACGUCUGACCUACAGAUACCAUGAGACAAUGAUACAACAGUAGGCCUCACGUGAUUAACCUCAAAAUAAGCUAUCAAGACAGUAAUUGUAAUGGAAACAUGGCAAAUGGAAGCUGACUUCCAGUGUGUUAAGGCAACAUUCUGUUUGUUCUUGAAAUUGGGGUGCAAUGCCUUGAACUGAUGUCGGAAAAAACUUGCUCCCUGAAGGCAGAGAACUGAGUGGUUUUGUAGCUGUCAUUGCCUGCACAUGGGCAAACUUAGCCUUGGUGCUGUGUAAAAACAGGCUCAUGAUCGUUCCUGAGAGAGAACAGCUCCAUCCUGAGCAAGCUUGAGAUCUCACUGCAUGGUGUACAUGCUUACCUCGAGCCACCAGGCUUCCAUUGGCUUGAGGUUGUGUUCCCAGACCCCUCCAGGAAGCCGCCAAGAAAGC